UGCAUUUGAAUGUGGAUAUAUACAUGUAUUUGAAAUCCCCACUUUCUUCUAGGUUGGAUCCCCCUUUUUUUUAAAGAUUGCUGGUUCCUCUCCUGAACCCAAAGUUCUCCCUUCCUAUUUGGUAAAGACAUAUAAGAUUGUGUACAUAAAUACACGGAUGCCCAAUCCCCACUAUCAUUUUCUAUGUUUAGUGGACUUUAAAAAUGGAGGAAAAAACUCUAAUUUGUCAUUAAAAUUAGAAAGAUGAUAUCAUAGGGAACAUGUUACUACUAAGUUUCAAGUUGAUUGGACUUCAACUUCACCAAAAACUACCUCAACCAAAAACUUUAACCUGAAGCUGGACAGACAAACAAACAGACGCUCAGACCAGAAAACAUAAUGCCCAUAAAUGAGGCAUAAUAAAUGUUUGCCUUGGAAAACUCCCUAAAUAAUUUGCUUAACAACAGCCAGUCUUGCCUGUCAUAAUUCAGUAACUACAAGUUAUUUAUCUUUUCUUGAAAGAUAUGACUGUUUCAACACCACUUGUAGUACUCCUUCCUCUUACAAGGCUGCCAGUUUUUAUUGGUGGCAGAAGCCAUAUAAAUGGAACCUGAAAAACCACCGACUUUCAGUGUCUUUAAAUGUUGUCCAAAGUUUCUGUUGAAAUGUUUGUACUGGUUUAAGGUAUUGCUGAUUAAAAGUGUUGACGUCUGAUUAAACAAAAAAAAUAUCCUUUACCAAAUUGUCCUAUUCAAGGGGAGAUAAACUUAUUGAAAUAAAUCCUUUACAACAACUUUGGAUCAAUACCUUAUAAAUGGGUACUCGGAUAAUAUUUUGGGAAAGAUUUUCAGAAAAUCAAUUUAAAAAUCCGUUCAAGGUAUCUCUUAAAUUUUUGAAAUAAUUGGUCCAGUGAUCAAUGAAGAAUGUAAAGAUGAUCAUGAUGUGAUAAUGCCAAUGAGAUAUGGUUAAUAUGCCAAUGAGAUGUGGUCGAUAUGUCAAUGAGAUGUGGUAAUAAAGCUAAUGAGAUGUGCUAAGAAUGCCAAUGAGAUGUGCUUAGAAUGCUAAUGAGAUGUGCUAAGAAUGCUAAUGAGAUGUGGUUAAUAUGCCAAUGAGAUGUGGUCAAUAUGCCAAUGAGAUGUGGUAAUAAAGCUAAUGAGAUGUGCUAAGAAUGCCGAUGAGAUGUGCUUAAUAUGCCAAUGAGAUGUGGUCAAUAUGCCAAUGAGAUGUGGUCAAUAUGCCAAUGAGAUGUGGUCAAUAUGCCAAUGAGAUGUGCUAAGAAUGCCAAUGAGAUGUGCUAAGAAUGCUAAUGAGAUGUGGUAAUAAAGCUAAUGAGAUGUGAUAAGAAUGCCAAUGAGAUGUGCUAAGAAUGCCAAUGAGAUGUGGUUAAUAUGCCAAUGAGAUGUGGUCAAUAUGCCAAUGAGAUGUGGUAAUAAAGCUAAUGAGAUGUGCUAAGAAUGCUAAUGAGAUGUGCAAAAAAUGCCAAGGAGAUGUGCUUAGAAAGCCAAUGAGAUGUGGUAAUAAAGCUAAUGAGAUGUACUAAGAAUGCAAAUGAGUUGUGGUAAUAAAGCUAAUGAGAUGCACUAAUAAGAGUGUAAAUGAGAUGUGGUAAUAAAGCUAAUGAGUUGCACUAAGAAUGCAAAUGAGAUGUGGUAGUAAAGCUAAUGCGAUGUGCUUAGAAUGCCUAUGAGAUGUGGUAAUAUGCUAAUGAGAUGUGCUAAGAAUGCCAAUGAGAUGUGCAAAAAACGCCAAGAAGAUGUGCUUAGAAUGCCAAUAAGAUGUGUUGAUCCUACUAAUGAGAUGCGCUAAGAAUGCAAAUGAGAUGUGGUAUAAAGCUAAUGAGAUGUGGUAAUAAAGCUAAUGAGAUGCACUUAUAAGAAUGUAAAUGAGAUUUGGUAAUAAAGCUUAUGAGAUGUGGUAAUAAAGCUAAUGAGUUGCACUAAGAAUGCAAAUGAGAUAUGGUAGUAAAGCUAAUGAGAUGUGGUAAUAAAGCUAAUGAGAUGUGGCAAUAAAGUUAAUGAGAUGCACUAUGAAUGCAAAUUAGUUGUGGUAAUAAAGCUAAUGAGAUGCACUUAUAAGAAUGCAAAUGAGAUGUGGUAAUAAAGCUAGUUAUGCUAAAAAUGCCAAUGAGAUGUGCUUAGAAUGCCAAUAAGAUUUGUUAAUACAACUAAUGAGAUGCGCUAAGAAUGCAAAAGAGAUAUAGUAUAAAGCUAAUGAGAUGUGCUUAGAAAGCCAAAGAGAUGUGGUAAUAAAGUUAAUGAGAUAUGGUAAUAAAGCUAAUGAGAUGUGGUAAUAAAGCUAAUGAGAUGUGGUAAUAAAGCUAAUGAGAUGUGGCAAUAAAGUUAAUGAGAUGUGCAAUAAUGCUAAUGAGAUGUGGCAAUAAAGUUAAUGAGAUGUGCUACGAAUCCACAUGAGAUGUGGUAGUAAAGCUAAUUAAAUGCACUUAUAAGUAUGCAAAUGAGAUGUGGUAAUGAAGCUAAUGAGUUGCACUAAGAAUGCAAAUGAGAUGUGGUAAUAAAGCUAAUGAGAUGUGCUAAGAAUGCACAUGAGAUGUGGUAGAAAGGCUAAUGAUAUUUGGUAAUAGUGCCAAUGAGAUGUGCUAAAAAUGCCAAUGAGUGGUGAUAUUUAUGCAAAUUCAAUUUGGUAAGAAUGCCAAUGAGAUGUGGUAAUAAAGCUAAUGAGAUGUAGUAAGAAUGUCAAUGAGAUGUGGUAAUAAAGCUAAUGAGAUGUAGUAAGAAUGCCAAUGAGAACUAUCCAACACAGAUAAAACCACAAGGCUGUAAGAGUUAUCUUUCUUUCAUGUGAAUUUUAUGUAUACUUUGCAAACUUUGUAAGCUCCCCUACAGCUGAUAGUUAAACAUUUCCAUCAUUUUAUGAUUUAAGUUGCCCUUUCUUUUAAUAAAAUUAUUUUAUGAAUUAACUUUUAUAAAUUAGCAAGAUGAAAAAGCUUGCUAUAAAUCUCAAAUUCAAAAUUUUCUGAAAAAAACAACCUUAAAUAACCAAAUUUUUUUUUAUUGCCAAUUUAAAAAAAAGAUAUACCAGUAAUGACACGAGGAUAGAAGAUGUGUGGAAUCAAAUAGGUAACAACUAUAGUGAUAAUGAAAUAUUCCAAUAAUAACCAGUUUUAAAUGUAUUGACUUAACAGACUUAAUGUAUGAUGUUAUAUGUGACCAGUCAGAAUAGUGGACAAUGAAAUAUUCAAAUGAUGAAACUGACUGACUUUUAGUGAAUAGACUAAAUUCAGGAUUGAACAGCCUUGGAAUUGGACCGACAAGUAAAUAUUGACACCCGCCUUGGAACCAGCAAGUGAAUUAUUGACAUUUAUAUUGAUGUGACCAGUAUUCAUGUAGAUGGACAGUACUAGUGGACUAUAAACUGAUAAAUCUCACAGAAAAGCACAUCACAACUGGGUCUGAAGCUGUUACAUGCAAAAGACGAGAUAUCCAGGAAAUUUUGAAGAAUUGUAUGUGAUCUAUAACAAGAUCUGAGGACAGUAGGACCUGGAAGUACUAUAUUACCAACUUCAAGAUUAACUGAUUGGGAAUUUACAAAUCAACUGAUAAAGAAAAAGACAAAUUUUGCCAUUUAGAUGAACUUGGAAACAAUUAUUGACAAACAAUAUAGUGUAUUAUUAUUCUUGUUGAAAUCAACAGAGAGAGAGAGAGAGAGGAAGGAUAGGAGAGAGUCAAUUGUAAAGAUUUAUGUCUUUUUAACCAGACAUGUCGAUUAUAUUAGAAUUUCAGAGGCCUACAGUUUUAGCAUUACAGGUGCUAAAUGGUCAUACAUGAAGUAGUUAAAGCACUUUAAUGUUAAGAUUUUGAUGUGACCAGCGAGAACAAUCAGGCAGCUGCCAUUGGUUUAAAUCUCUUUUUUCGAAGAUGUUUUGGUUACAUAAGAAUAAAUCUGUGUGGAACGUCAAAAAAAAGUAAAAAAAUAAUUUGUGGUAUUUUGUACAGUUUCAUUAUGCAAUCUUGAAUACAUUUAUGAUUACUAUUUAUAAAGAAGUAUUAAUUUAUCAUUAGAAUGAGGAUGGACAAUGUUUAAACAUUUAUUUGAGACGGAGCUCGAGUUUUGCAUUAUUUCAUAAAAAAAAUAAUUCUUUUUCUGUUAAUGAAGAACAAACAGGGAAAACAGACAAAGCUGCUAUUCUAUGAUUUUCAAAUUGUAUUUAUUUACAUUUGAUUGAUUAUUUGAAGAUUAACUACAAGUAUUCAGCAUAGUACAAAAUUAAGGAUGCACUGCAAGUGUAUCUUUAUAGUUAUCAUCACACUAUGUCCAAUCUAGAUGUACAACACUCUUUUUUAUAGUGUUCUGUAAAUUAUCAGGAACACCAGUUGUGAUGAAUGGAAAGACUGGCAGGCUGAGAUUAUACAAGGGGAGGGAAUACCCCUGCUUAUCUUUUCAUACUGGUUAGUUCCUUUGGUAAAGGUUUUGUACAAUGUUGUUCAUAUCAGGUGGAUUCGUUUUGAAGAGAGUUGUUAUUUAGAGCUCUGUAAAAAAAAAAAAAAAAGAAUUGUAAACAAGAGUUCUAGAUAAUAACUGGGUGGUAUGAAAUUAGGGUUAAAUAUUUUCGGUUUAUUUACAAUAUAUUUUUUUUUAAUGCAUCUGAUAAUUUUGUGUAUAAAAUGUUUUGUUAUUUUUUACAGAAUUGCUUUAGUUGCCUUCCUGACUAACAUUUAUUGGUGAAUGGAGAGACUAGCAGGCUGAGAUUGAGGGGUAAGGGGAGGGAUUACCCCUGCUUUUCUCUUCAUACUUGUAAAUUAUGUCACUGCACGGAAGGUCAACAAUUAAGAAUAUAUAAGUUAUCAUUUUUUAUGUAUCAAUGUAAGUUGGAUAAAUUAUAUCAGAUGUAUAUAAAGUAAGAUGAAAGUAUUAUUUAGAGCUCUGUAAAAAAAAAAGCUUGUAAACCGAGGUCUAGAUAAUGCAUUAAAGGGUUUGGUUUGGCAUGGGGAUUUCAAAUUUUAUUUACAAGUCAUCAUCUACAAAAAUGCAUCUGAUAUUAUUAUUUGCCCCAAGCCUAAUUUCGUGUCCCAAAUAUAAUGAGUACAGAAUAAUGGUGACAGCUUGGUCACCACCCUUAUUUUAAGUUUUAUUCACCCCUCCUUUCGUCACCCCCCAUCCACCCACCCCCACCCCACCCUUUUAAUAAAAAGUUAUAGGUUAAGGUUUCUUAUUGUGAUUAAUGAUUAAUUAAUUGAUUUUAAUUAAGUGUCACAGAAUUAUUAAGAUACUCAUUUCUGUGUAACAAGAUUAAUCUCCAAUAUUUGAAGGUGUUUUUGAUCAAGUUUUAUUAAACUCAAAAUGUUUAGUAUAUCAUCAGCUGUCAAAUACAAAAUAAAAAUUUACCUCUAUAGAUAUAUCUGCAUUUUAUAUGCUACGAAAUUUUGCCUGUUUUACAUAGAUUUAUCUAACAAAAUGAAAAACUCUGUCCAUGAAAUUGAUUUAAUUGAACUUUCACACUGUUGAUAAUAACCCUGUUUGUUCAUGACAAUUUUACAUGUGGUAGUCUUGAUGUAAUAUAUAGUUCUUCCACUGACAACCUUGUUUGUUCAUGACAAUUGUAUUCUUGAAAUAUCUGUUACAAAUACACACCCAUGCUUUUUCCCCUAUAGGGUUUUUUAAUGCAGGGUGCAUGUUUUUCUAUGUUACCAUAUGUCUGUCUCUCUUUUUAAUAAAGAACAUACAUAGAAAUGUU